AGCUCCAAUAGCGUAUAUUAAAGUUGUUGUGAUUAAAAAGUUCGUAGUUGAAGCUAUGGCUCCGCCGCCCGGUCCCCCUCACCGGGUGCACUGGCGCGGCGGGGCCUUUCCCCCUGCGGAACCGCAUGCCCUUCACUGGGCGUGCUGGGGAGGCAGGACUUUUACUGUGAAAAAAUUAGAGUGCUCUAAGCAGGCCUUUGCUCGGAUACAUUAGCAUGGAAUAAUGGAAUAGGACGUGCCGUUCUAUUU
rnacentral:rRNA from 1 species